AUUGAACGCUGGCGGCAGGCUUAACACAUGCAAGUCGAGCGGAGAUGAGGUGCUUGCACCUUAUCUUAGCGGCGGACGGGUGAGUAAUGCUUAGGAAUCUGCCUAUUAGUGGGGGACAACAUUCCGAAAGGAAUGCUAAUACCGCAUACGCCCUACGGGGGAAAGCAGGGGAUCUUCGGACCUUGCGCUAAUAGAUGAGCCUAAGUCGGACUAGCUAGUUGGUGGGGUAAAGGCCUACCAAGGCGACGAUCCGUAGCGGGUCUGAGAGGAUGAUCCGCCACACUGGGACUGAGACACAGCCCGGACUCCGACGGGAGGCAGCAGUGGGGAAUAUUGGACAAUGGGCGGAAGCCUGGGCCAGCCAUGCCGCGUGGGUGAAGAAGGCCUUUUGGUUGUAAAGCACUUUAAGCGAGGAGGAGGCUACCUGGAUUAAUACUCUAGGAUAGUGGACGUUACUCGCAGAAUAAGCACCGGCUAACUCUGUGCCAGCAGCCGCAGUAAUAC
rnacentral:rRNA from 1 species